AAAGAGUUGGCAGAUUACGGAUGGAGGGCAGUAUCUCCCAACAGCCUGGGCGGCCGCUGAGACCCAGAGAACCCAAGGACUCCCCUGGGCUCAUCCAGCAGCCUCUGCUUCCCAGGAGAGAGGUGCUGAAGUCCACAAAGAGAGUCUUGCUCUGUCACCCAGGCUGGAGUGCAGUGGUGUGAUCUUGGCUCAUUGUAACCUCCACCUCCCGGGUUCAAGUGAUUCUCAUGCCUCAGCCUCCCAAGUAGCUGGGAUUACAGGUGGUAACUUCCAAGAGUGACUCCGUGGGAGGAAAAUGACUGCCCAGUCGCUGCUGCAGAUGACGCUGUUCCUGCUGAGUCUGCUCUUCCUGGUCCAAGCCAGCGGAACCAGACACACAAGAGCAGCCUCCACUACAAAGCCACGCAAGACCUGCGCAUCUCCAUCGAGAACUCCGAGGAGGCCCUCACAGUCCAUGCCCCCUUCCCUGCGGCCCACCCUGCUUCUCGAUCCUUCCCUGACCCCAGGGGCCUCUACCACUUCUGCCUCUACUGGAACCGACAUGCUGG
rnacentral:sRNA from 1 species